rnacentral:misc_RNA from 1 species
AACGCAUCUUGCGCUCCUUGGUAUUCCGAGGAGCAUGCCUGUUUGAGUGUCAUGAAACUAUCAAACUGCAAUUAUUUUUUAAUUAAUAAUUGCAGGUUUGGAUGUUGGAUGCUUGCUGGACAACACUACGGAUGGCCCAGCUCAUCUGAAAUUUAUUAGCUGAUCCAAGUAUCAUGGAUUAUCCACUUGGCGUGAUAGGUUAUCACCCGCUGAGGACUUAUCCAGAGAUAAUAAUAAUGGAUUGCUUCUAAUUGUAGAGGUACUGUGGUAUCUUACUGAGAAUCAUCUGACCUCAAAUCAGGUAGGACUACCCGCUGAACUUAA